rnacentral:rRNA from 1 species
UGCCAGCCGCCGCGGUUAUACGGAGGGUCCAAGCGUUAAUCGGAAUUACUGGGCGUAAAGCGCGCGUAGGCGGUUUAGCAAGUUGUAUGUGAAAGUCCUGGGCUCAACCUAGGAGCUGCAUCCAAAACUACUAAGCUAGAGUGCGAGAGAGGAGAGUAGAAUUUCUGGUGUAGCGGUGAAAUGCGUAGAUAUCAGAAGGAAUACCAAUGGCGAAGGCAGCUCUCUGGCUCGUCACUGACGCUGAGGUGCGAAAGCGUGGGUAGCAAACAGGAUUAGAUA